UACGGAGGGUGCAAGCGUUGUUCGGAAUUAUUGGGCGUAAAGCGCGUGUAGGCGGUUUGUUAAGUCUGGUGUGAAAGCCCUGGGCUCAACCUGGGAAGUGCAUUGGAUACUGGCAAACUUGAGUACGGGAGAGGAUAGUGGAAUUUCGAGUGUAGGGGUGAAAUCCGUAGAUAUUCGAAGGAACACCUGCGGCGAAGGCGGGUAGCUGGGCCGACACUGACGCUGAGGCGCGAAAGCCAGGGGAGCGAACGGG
rnacentral:rRNA from 1 species